rnacentral:rRNA from 1 species
UGAUACGUAGGGUGCGAGCGUUGUCCGGAUUUAUUGGGCGUAAAGAGCUCGUAGGUGGUUUGUUGCGUCGGGAGUGAAAACACGCAGCUUAACUGUGUGCUUGCUUUCGAUACGGGCAGACUUGAGGGAUGUAGGGGAGAACGGAAUUCCUGGUGGAGCGGUGGAAUGCGCAGAUAUCAGGAGGAACACCGGUGGCGAAGGCGGUUCUCUGGACAUUUCCUGACGCUGAGGAGCGAAAGCGUGGGGAGCAAACAGG